rnacentral:rRNA from 1 species
GCCUAACCAAACACACAAUUAAAUUACCAAUUGUCCGCCAAACAACUACGAGUCACACUUAAAACUUAAAAGACUUGACGGUACUUCAUCACGACCUAGAGGAGCCUGUCUGAUAACCGACAAUCCACGAUUAACCCCACCCUUUCUCGCCCAACAGUCUAUAUACCGCCGUCGCCAGCUUACCUUGUAAAAGAAAUAAAGUGAGCCAAACAGUACCGCACUAAAACGACAGGUCGAGGUGUAACCCAUGAAAGGGGUUAAGAUGGGCUACAUUCUCCAACCGAGAAUACGAAUAGCACUAUGAAACUAGCGCCUGAAGGCGGAUUUAGCAGUAAGAUAGGAAUAAAACACCCAACUGAACAUAACGCAAUGAAGUGCGUACACACCGCCCGUCAUCCCUGCCACACAACAUUAAAUCUUAAUAAACCAACAAAAGAAGCCAAACAGGGCAAGUCGUAACAUGGUAAGUGUACUGGAAAGUGUACUUAGAAA